UGGGGAAUAUUGCACAAUGGGCGCAAGCCUGAUGCAGCCAUGCCGCGUGUAUGAAGAAGGCCUUCGGGUUGUAAAGUACUUUCAGCGGGGAGGAAGGGAGUAAAGUUAAUACCUUUGCUCAUUGACGUUACCCGCAGAAGAAGCACCGGCUAACUCCGUGCCAGCAGCCGCGGUAAUACGGUGGGUGCAAGCGUUAAUCGGAAUUACUGGGCGUAAAGCGCACGCAGGCGGUUUGUUAAGUCAGAUGUGAAAUCCCCGGGCUCAACCUGGGAAAUGCAUCUGAUACUGGCAAGCUUGAGUCUCGUAGAGGGGGGUAGAAUUCCAGGUGUAGCGGUGAAAUGCGUAGAGAUCUGGAGGAAUACCGGUGGCGAAGGCGGCCCCCUGGACGAAGACUGACGCUCAGGUGCGAAAGCGUGGGGAGCAAACAGG
rnacentral:rRNA from 1 species